rnacentral:rRNA from 1 species
UGCCAGCCGCCGCGGUAAUACGGAGGGUGCAAGCGUUAAUCGGAAUUACUGGGCGUAAAGCGCGCGUAGGCGGUUUUGUAAGUCGGAUGUGAAAUCCCCGGGCUUAACCUGGGAACUGCACUCGAUACUGCAUAACUAGAGUAUGGUAGAGGGAAGUGGAAUUUCCGGUGUAGCGGUGAAAUGCGUAGAUAUCCGGAGGAACACCAGUGGCGAAGGCGACUUGUUGGGACAAUACUGACGCUGAGGUGCGAAAGCGUGGGGAGCAAACAGGAUUAGAUA